UGGGGAAUAUUGCACAAUGGGGGAAACCCUGAUGCAGCGACGCCGCGUGAGCGAUGAAGGCUUUCGAGUCGUAAAGCUCUGUCCUCUGGGAAGAUAAUGACGGUACCAUAGAAGAAAGCCCCGGCUAAUUACGUGCCAGCAGCCGCGGUAAUACGUAAGGGGCGAGCGUUGUCCGGAAUUAUUGGGCGUAAAGAGUGCGUAGGCGGCAAAUUAAGUCAGAUGUGAAAACUAAGGGCUCAACCCAUAGAUUGCAUCUGAAACUGAUAUGCUUGAGUCAAGGAGAAGAAAGUGGAAUUCCUAGUGUAGCGGUGGAAUGCGUAGAUAUUAGGAGGAAUACCGGUGGCGAAGGCGACUUUCUGGACUUGAACUGACGCUGAGGCACGAAAGCGUGGGGAGCAAACAGG
rnacentral:rRNA from 1 species